rnacentral:sRNA from 1 species
UCCUAUACGCCCUCUACACCAAUGACAUC